rnacentral:lncRNA from 1 species
UCGCAUUCAAUUUGGGGCUUUAGGGAUUGUUCUGAUGAUCGUGAUUAGGGGUGGGUUUACCUCCUUUCCGUUUCUUGAAUUUGAUUUCGCGAUUCUGGGUUCAGUGGUGGUUAUUGUUAGAUGCACAGGUGGCGCCAAUGGAGGGCUGAAGGAUGCCGCCAUAGGGUGGCGACGGGCGUUGGCAGUUCCAUUUUGACUGAGGAGUCCUUGGUUUGGGUUGGGCAGGCAAUUUUGGUUUGACUGAAAAAUUUGGGUUGGAUUAACUAAUUGGAUUAACCUUUACUUAAACUUAAAGCAUGCGUUUUUUUAUUUUAUUUUAAUCCUAAACAAAUAAUUUAAGUCUACGUUAUUAAGUGGUUAUGUGCCACGUGUUUUGGAAAAUGAC